rnacentral:lncRNA from 1 species
UAUGAACUGCUCUCUUCCAAAAUGUUGAUCCUUUCACACAGCCAAAGGCAUCACCAGCAAAUCAGACCCAAGAUUUGGGGGCUGUGAUACUGCACCGCUAUUCCCCGUAGCAGCCGAGUACUUCUCCUUGUACCUCUCAAGCCUGCCAUUGUGCUGGAAAGUAGAGCAGGAUUAGUCUUCAGCUGUGUAAGUUCCUCAAUCAGUUCCAGAAUAGAGAUGCACAAAUGCUUAUCCCAGCAUGAGAAAAGAGACUCCACAGGGACUGAAGGGACUGGACUGCUUCUGUCAUUGACAGUGUCAGCUUGUAUCAGCCAAAAGUUUUGGCUGAGCUGUGGCUUCUACACCCCAUUUAGAAAAUGAAGACAUUACUAAUUCUUUACUUCUUACGUGUCCACGAGGAUAACAUUGCCGACAUUUGCCAUGAGUGUUAGCAGAAAUGUAAUUCCUGCACUAAUUCCUGACUUGCUGAGGUCUAGCUGCAAAAACCUCCAGUAUCCCUCCCAGUCAGUGCCUGAGCCUGAUCACUGUUUGCUGGAGAUUGUUUUAAGGUCUGAAGCUUAAAAGAUAGAAGAAGGGGAAGGAGAAAGGNNNNNNNNNNGAAGGAGAAGGAGAAGGAGAAGGAGAAGGAGAAGGAGAAGGAGAAGGAGAAGGAGAAGACCGGUGAAUUUCCAGCUUUGGUACAACAGAUGUAUGAAACCUAAGAGCCGUAUUAGAGAUUUCUGAGGGUCUGUCUCCAGAGCCACCAGGCUGCAGAUGCACCUGUACAGCGGCGCCCAGACACCGCCUCCUUGAGCUGCCAGUUGAGCGUGCCAGGGCUUUCAAGCGAGAGGAGCUGGGGAGGUAACGCUGUUGAUCCUUCCUGCCUUUAAAGACAGCAGACUCAGAGAGAUGAGAUCCGUGUACUUCAGUGCAUCUGAGGGUCCGCCUCGGACGGUCUCCAUCUCGCAGAGCUCCGUUAGCAAGCAGCAAGCCCCAGCUGAACGUGGACCUGCGCUGUCAGCACCUGCCAGGCCCCAAGCUGUGAGUACGGAGCCAGAGGGAUUUCCAUCACAAUCCACUCUUUUUCCCUCAGUUUGCAGCCAGGAAAACAGGCCAUGGGGAGACACAAGCCUACCUGUAGAGCCAUCAGUUUGGCCUUUUUCAAGCAGCUUUUAUCCUUCUUUUAAAUCCCUCUCUGUUGUGUGCCAGAGCAACAAGCCAUAUGUUAAAGAUGUUAAAGAGCAAAUAGUUUGCAGACUGUACCAGCAUGCAGAGUCAGAGGGGAAGCGAGCAAUAAUGUUGGGAGAAAGGGGAAGAAGUGAUUAUCUGGUAGUGAUUAUUCGGGAGGGCAAUAGUGGGAGGUGCUGUAAGUGA